GUGAGGAAUUUUCCGCAAUGGGCGAAAGCCUGACGGAGCAAUGCCGCGUGGAGGAUAAGGUCUUCGGAUUGUAAACUCCUGUCAUGCGUGAACAAGGUUGCUUGGAUAAUACCUGAGCAAAUUGAUGGUAGCGCAAGAGGAAGAGACGGCUAACUCUGUGCCAGCAGCCGCGGUAAUACAGAGGUCUCAAGCGUUGUUCGGAAUCACUGGGCGUAAAGGGUGCGUAGGUGGCGUGGCAAGUCAGAUGUGAAAGCCCGGGGCUCAACCUCGGAACUGCAUCCGAUACUGCCAUGCUAGAGUACUGGAGGGGUGACUAGAAUUCUCGGUGUAGCAGUGAAAUGCGUAGAUAUCGAGAGGAAUACCAAAGGCGUAGGCAGGUCACUGGACAGUUACUGACACUGAGGCACGAAGGCCAGGGGAGCGAACGGGAUUAGAUACCCGUGUAGUCC
rnacentral:rRNA from 1 species